rnacentral:sRNA from 1 species
GGACAUUCAUGCUGCUGCUCAGGUAGUAGCAUGGAACCAUGUAAGCAGGUGAGACUUCUUAGAGGGACUGACACAUUACAUAAAGUGUACGAGGAAGAGCAAUAACAGGUCUGUGAUGCCCUAAGAUGUCCGGGGCCGCACGCGUGCUACAAUGACGAUGCAAGUGAGCAUGAUUUGCCUGGUUCGAAAGAAUUGGGAAAACUGUUUAAUCAUCGUCGUUACUGGGAUUGGGGUUUGCAAUUAUCCCCCAUGAACGAGGAAUUCCUAGUAAGCACAAGUCAUAAGCUUGUGCUGAUUACGUCCCUGCCCUUUGUACACACCGCCCGUCGCUACUACCGAUUGAAUGUUUUAGCAAGGUCAUUGGAUUGGCUAUUUGUGGUUCACGCUGCAAUCAGCUGAGAAGAUGACCGAACUUGAGCAUUUAGAGGAAGUAAAAGUCGUAACAAGGUUUCCGUAGGUGAACCUGCGGAAGGAUCAUUACCAUUAACAUUCCUAUCAACACUGACUAUGUACUAUGAAACUGCUUCGGUGGUCGAUUGGUGCUUAGUCUAGUGAACCGUUCCCAUGGGUCUGCCCCAAGGAACAAAAACGUAGUACAUUAAUUGUCGAACGGAGAGGUAGCUGGUAUACAGGACCAUGUAGCAGUGUAUCCUGGUUAGCCAGUUUAUCACCCACCAUUAGGAGGGUUCCAACUUUCACUCCGAUUUCGAUUCUGCUACUCCCCCGUUAUGCGUAUUAAUCAUUCUAUCAUUAUUGGAUGUUGUACCUGAGCAAUUGGGUGCACAUUCGCCUGGAAUGUCCAUUCUGAGUUUCAGCGAAAGCUGUCGCUUGGAGUUGCAUUCCAUUGUUGUAUGUGUCCUUCACGGGACAUGUUCAACAUAUCCGACAACUA